rnacentral:rRNA from 1 species
UAGUCCACGCCGUAAACGAUGUCUACUCGGAGUUUGGUGCCUUGAGCACUGGGCUCUCAAGCUAACGCAUUAAGUAGACCGCCUGGGGAGUACGGCCGCAAGGUUAAAACUCAAAUGAAUUGACGGGGGCCCGCACAAGCGGUGGAGCAUGUGGUUUAAUUCGAUGCAACGCGAAGAACCUUACCUACUCUUGACAUCUAGAGAAGCUUGCAGAGAUGCGAGUGUGCCUUCGGGAACUCUAAGACAGGUGCUGCAUGGCUGUCGUCAGCUCGUGUUGUGAAAUGUUGGGUUAAGUCCCGCAACGAGCGCAACCCUUAUCCUUGUUUGCCAGUACGUAAUGGUGGGAACUCCAGGGAGACUGCCGGUGAUAAACCGGAGGAAGGUGGGGACGACGUCAAGUCAUCAUGGCCCUUACGAGUAGGGCUACACACGUGCUACAAUGGUGCAUACAGAGGGUAGCGAGACCGCGAGGUGGAGCGAAUCCCAGAAAGUGCAUCGU